rfam:Felis catus isolate Cinnamon breed Abyssinian chromosome A1, whole genome shotgun sequence.
ACCUGGGUGGCUCAGUCAGUUGAGCAUCUGACUUCGGCUCAGGUCAUGAUCUCACAGUUCAUGGGUUCGAGCCCUAUGUCAGGCU